UAGGGAGGGGGUUAGCGUUGUUCGGAAUUACUGGGCGUAAAGCGCGCGUAGGCGGAUCAGAAAGUUGGGGGUGAAAUCCCGGGGCUCAACCCCGGAAUUGCCUUCAAAACUCCUGGUCUUGAGUUCGAGAGAGGUGAGUGGAAUUCCGAGUGUAGAGGUGAAAUUCGUAGAUAUUCGGAGGAACACCAGUGGCGAAGGCGGCUCACUGGCUCGAAACUGACGCUGAGGUGCGACAGCGUGGGGAGCUAACAGG
rnacentral:rRNA from 1 species